GCAUUUCAAAGGUAAGAAAUGUAACCAUCUCAAGGUACAGAUGUAGGACUUUUAAUUUGAAAUUUAUCUAAAAUGAUACAGUAAAAAUGAACGGCCUUCACUGUGUCAGUAGUUAGAGAUGUCUUCGACCAAGAUACAUCAGGGAUCGCCAGAAAUUAUGGAGCAGUGUAUUGUCAUAACACCUGGAUAUCAAAUUUUUCAUUUGCUGUUUCCAACAUCUUAUUUUGAAAACCGGAUGUCUUAAUCCUGCCUGUCCGCUCGUUCGGGAUCGUUUCUUUGCAUGGCAUAAAGCAGGGGUCGGCAACCCGCGACUCUAGAGCCGCAUGCGGCUCUUCAGCGCCUCCCUAGUGGCUCCCUGGAGCUUUUUCAAAAAUGUAUGAAAAUGAAAAAAAAAUAGGGGGGAAUAUAUAUUUUGUUUUAAUAUGGUUUCUGUAGAUGGUGGCCCCAGGGAUGUUGCAACAAGCUUUUGUCAGCAUGCUCGAGUGUUCGGGCGAGUGAGUGGAUUCAUCAUUUAAGUUAUCUUGUGUGGUGUGUGAGACUGGGGGUUGGGCUCUGUGUGCUCUCUUGGCAGAGAUAGGCGUGGUUUGCUGGGUGCCUGAGGAGCUGGCUGUACACACCUGAGCCGAAUCAUCAUCAUCUGGAGCAGUAUUUAGAGACUAGCCUCCUGUGUGCUAACUGUCAGAUUGUCACUGCUUUGUGGAUCCAGCCUCUCUACCCACCAAGCCACCCUGCCACCGCUUACCCUCAGUUCAAUAAACGGCUGUUUUGUCCCUA